rnacentral:lncRNA from 1 species
UAGUAUCAAAAGGACUCCAAAGCCAAUGAAUUACCAAUGAAUUACUUGUUUCUAGAAUUGAUAGGGCAAUAACUGUCUAUAAGCAUUACAUUAUCUUUAACAAAACAAUAAAGAAUUACUUGUUUCUAGAAUUAAUAGGACAAUAACUGUCUAUAAGCAUUACAUUAUCUUUAACAAAACAAUAAAUUUUGUUCAUAAUCAGUCUAGGUGUAAGCUCUAUGGAUUUUGAGUGAUGUUGGUUUUCAUAAGAAACUAGGUUUCGCAAAAAAGGAUGGUAAAAAAAACCAUACGUGAUGUAGAACUUGCUAUAUGAAAUCCAGGGUUUGACAAGGAGUUCUCUAAGUUGAGAAAGGAUGGUACACUAAGUCCCUGACUUAUGAAACUGGUGUCGGGGCAACCAAAGAUCUCUAGACCUGAAUUGUGAGUAUAAAUAUCCAAGUCAACAAAUAUCGCUAACCACAAACCUCCUUGUCACAUACCCGCAAUAAAACAAAUGAGUCCAAAUAUGUGAAUUGAGACACUAAUUUGAUAUUAUACAAUAGUCAAUUAUAUGAUUUCAAUAGUUGAUAUGUCUUACAGUGGGUUGGUGUUGUAUUUAGAUAAACCUUUAACGUGAAUGUUUUCUAUAAGCUAUUUAAAUCUGAAUCUUUGAAUCCGUUUUUAGGAUCAUCGAUCCCCAAUGAGGAAUGAUGAUUUGUAUGCAAACUUAAAUAAAUGCUUAGGAUCCUAACAACUGAGACUAUAAUCAGGGCCGGCUCAACUAUUUUGGUGGCCUAAGGCGAAGUAAAAUCUUGUGGCCUUUUUCCCAAAAAAAUAUAUGUGAUUGAAAGUUAAACUUGAAGGGCCCAAGUGUAAUUAUUUGA